CUGCCUUUGGCUCAGGUCAUGAUGCUGGGAUCCUGGAACUGAGUCCCACGUUGGGCUCUCUGCAGGGAGCCUGCUUCUCCCUCUGCCUAUGUCUCUGCCUCUCUCUGUGUCUCUCAUGAAUAAAUAAAUAAAAUCUCUUUUAAAAGGACCCCCUUCUCUGUUUAAAAGUCUCUAAUUUUCUAAGUGACAUAUAGAAUUCUUUGUAACAUGGCUCACAUCUUCUAGGAUUUCUCAGUGCCUGUAACUAUUUCUGAAUAGUGCAAGCCUUGAAAAGAAUGCAUGGGGGCAAGCUCAUGGAUUGGAAGGAAGAGCUAAGCCAAGAAGUCCUAGAAAAGACUGGGACCAGAAGAUCUCCAAUGAUUCAGAGAAUAGGAAUUACAGGACAAACUCUUCAAGACCCUGUGGCUACGACAAACCCACUCCAAAACUUUUCCUUCACCCAUUCCAUUCAUGAUUCAAAUUCCUAGGAACUCUUCCCAUUUUCGUUUUUAUAGCUUGGUAGGGAUAUCAACCAAGAUAUCCCAAGUCCCUUGGAUAAAGAACAGUGACCAGAGCUUAGCCCACUUGAAUAAGGGCAGUACCAUUCUGAAGUCCAUGCAGGAAACAUCCUUGCCCUGGCCAUGUGCCCUACAGUCUUGCCACCAUAUGUCUUCCCAAGGAAUAAGAAAGCCAAAGGCUAAGGGCAUUUCCCCACCACAACCUACACCCCUCCCAGAAUGGACCAUUCUCUUGAUAACAAACCCUGGACUUCCCUGCCUAGUUAGUUCUCAGAGUCUUUUCUCACCAAGGCAGAUUGCAAAACAAAACCAGAAGGGACAUAAAGGCAGUUGUCCACUGACUUCAAUGUGCAGCUUAUGAGGUAUUCAUGCAAGUGCAAAAAGCCACUCACAGUGAGGGACCGAGGUGGGGGUAAGCACAGAAGUGGAGGACAGGCUGAGGAUAGGAAGCCAGGAGCCAGCUCUCCCCAUGCUGCCAUAUUUUGGCAAGGAGAUCUGAGAAGUCAGAAGGUUCUAAAUUUGAACUUGGCCUUCCAGAUCAUGAUGAAGACAGGAGGAUACUACACAUUUAAUAUAAUAGCUUAUGAAGCUCCUUUAUGAUUUUCAAUCUCCGUCUCUACUCUUACCUUGGAUCUUGUGGUGUUAUGGGAAGGUCUGUCAGAGACAUUAGGACGCUGCUAAUUAGGACACCCAUGAUGUGCACCUGCUGCCCAGAUUGUUCUCCCACACAUGUAUCUAGAGACCCCACCCCCACACACUCAGUCAUGCAGGCCCUCAGCUGAUCCUGCAAAUGCAUGAGCCUUCCAACUGGUGUCCUGCUUCCACUCUUGCCCUCUGGAUUCUUCUCCAUAGAGCAGCCAGAGGGAUCUGUUGAAACAUAACGGAUCAAGCCACAUUUCACUUUAAAAGCCUCCGGUGACCCCCAUCUGUCUCAGAGGAGAAGCCAAAGUCCUUUUCAUAUUUCAUAAAGGUUUACACAACUGACAUGUCCCAGCUCCCCCAGCCCCACUCUCUGACCCACAGUGCUCUGGCUGAUGUGCUCCAGCUGUCCCCCUGGUUGUCACUAGGACAUAUCAAGCCCAGCUGUUUCCCAGAAGUAUCUUGUGGAGGAAUUUACAUAGGACAAGGAGAUUAAAGUGGGAAGUUUGUUUUGCUUGUGCAUAUAUGUGUUCUGUUAUACAUGAAUUUUGACAUUUUUCUCGUAUUUGCAACUUUGCCACAAAAUACUGUGAAUGACUGUCCAUUUAUGGAUAUAUGUAUUCCUAAUUUUAAAAGAAAGUUCAGUAUUAUAUAAAGCACUCAUUCCUCAUUUCAUGGUAUUUAGGUGGUUUCCAUUGUGGCAACCAUACCACAGUGCACAUUCUUACAGAGGUCUCCCCCUACGUAUGUAUUUCUACAGACUGGUACCCUAGAAAGGAAAUAGAGGAUUCUAAGGGAAGGUAGACUUUAACCUACCAGUUCCCACUUUAAAAAGCCUCUUUAGGGGACGCCUGAGUGGCUCAGUCGGUUAAGCAUCUGACUCUUGAUUUUGGCUUAGGUAGUGAUCUCAGAGUCAUGAGAUCAAGCCGCACUUCCGGCUCCAUGCUGAGCAUGGAGAGAGCUUGAGAGUCUCUCUCUCUCUCUCUCCCCCUCCCUCUGCCCCUCCCCUCUACUCAUGUGUGCGUGCACUCGCUCACUCUCUU
rnacentral:lncRNA from 1 species